rnacentral:rRNA from 1 species
UACGUAGGGGGCUAGCGUUGUCCGGAAUCAUUGGGCGUAAAGAGCGUGUAGGCGGCCCGGUAAGUCCGCUGUGAAAGUCGGGGGCUCAACCCUCGGAUGCCGGUGGAUACUGUCGGGCUCGAGUACGGAAGAGGCGAGUGGAAUUCCUGGUGUAGCGGUGGAAUGCGCAGAUAUCAGGAGGAACACCAAUAGCGAAGGCAGCUCGCUGGGACGUUACUGACACUGAGGCGCGAAAGCGUGGGGAGCGAACAGG